GCAUAUCAAUAAGCGGAGGAAAAGAAACCAACAGGGAUUGCCUCAGUAACGGCGAGUGAAGCGGCAAGAGCUCAAAUUUGAAAGCUGGCUCCUUCGGGGUCCGCAUUGUAAUUUGCAGAGGAUGCUUCGGGAGCGGCCCCCAUCUAAGUGCCCUGGAACGGGCCGUCAUAGAGGGUGAGAAUCCCGUCUGGGAUGGGGUGCCCGCGCCCGUGUGAAGCUCCUUCGACGAGUCGAGUUGUUUGGGAAUGCAGCUCUAAAUGGGUGGUAAAUUUCAUCUAAAGCUAAAUACUGGCCGGAGACCGAUAGCGCACAAGUAGAGUGAUCGAAAGAUGAAAAGCACUUUGAAAAGAGAGUUAAACAGCACGUGAAAUUGUUGAAAGGGAAGCGCUUGCGACCAGACUCGCUCGCGGGGUUCAGCCGGCCUUCGGGCCGGUGUACUUCCCCGCGGGCGGGCCAGCGUCGGUUUGGGCGGCCGGUCAAAGGCCCUCGGAAUGUAACGCCCCCCGGGGCGUCUUAUAGCCGAGGGUGCCAUGCGGCCAGCCCGGACCGAGGAACGCGCUUCGGCUCGGACGCUGGCAUAAUGGUCGUAAGCGACCCGUCUUGAAACACGGACCAAGGAGUCUAACAUCUACGCGAGUGUUCGGGUGUCAAACCCGUGCGCGCAGUGAAAGCGAACGGAGGUGGGAACCCCUCGGGGUGCACCAUCGACCGAUCCUGAUGUCUUCGGAUGGAUUUGAGUAAGAGCGUAGCUGUUGGGACCCGAAAGAUGGUGAACUAUGCCUGAAUAGGGCGAAGCCAGAGGAAACUCUGGUGGAGGCUCGCAGCGGUUCUGACGUGCAAAUCGAUCGUCAAAUUUGGGUAUAGGGGCGAAAGACUAAUCGAACCAUCUAGUAGCUGGUUCCUGCCGAU
rnacentral:rRNA from 1 species